GACGAACGCUGGCGGCGUGCUUAACACAUGCAAGUCGAACGGAAAGGCCCUGCUUUUGUGGGGUGCUCGAGUGGCGAACGGGUGAGUAACACGUGAGUAACCUGCCCUUGACUUUGGGAUAACUUCAGGAAACUGGGGCUAAUACCGGAUAGGAGCUCCUGCUGCAUGGUGGGGGUUGGAAAGUUUCGGCGGUUGGGGAUGGACUCGCGGCUUAUCAGCUUGUUGGUGGGGUAGUGGCUUACCAAGGCUUUGACGGGUAGCCGGCCUGCGAGGGUGACCGGCCACAUUGGGACGGAGAUACGGCCCAGACUCGUACGGGAGGCAGGAGUGGGGAAUAUUGCACAAUGGGCGGAAGCCUGAUGCAGCAACGCCGCGUGCGGGAUGACGGGCUUCGGGUUGUAAACCGCUUUCGCCUGUGACGAAGCGUGAGUGACGGUAAUGGGUAAAGAAGCACCGGCUAACUACGUG
rnacentral:rRNA from 1 species